GACAGGAUGGCUGAGUGUUUAAGGUGUCAGACUCAUAGUAGAGAUCUGAUACAGUUUCGUGCGUAGGUCCAAGUCCUAAUCGUGUCG